ensembl:lncRNA
AUGUGCCAACAUGCCCAGCUAAUUUUUGCAUUUUUAUUAGAGGCAGAGUUUCAGCAUGUUGGCCAGGAUCAUCUGAGGUCAGGAGUUCCAGAUGAGCCUGGCCAACAUGGUGAAACCCCACCUCUACAAAAGACAGAAAAAUUAGCCAGACAUGGUGGUGGGCACCUGUAGUCCCAGCUACUCAGGAGGCUGAGGCAGGAGAAUCACUUGAACCCAGGAGGCAGAGGUUGCGGUGAGCCGAGAUCGCACCACUGCUUUCCAGCCUGGGCAAUAGAGUGAGACUUUGUCUCAAAAAAAAAAAAAAAAGAAAAGAAGAGAAGAGAGAAAUGUAAUUCUGCCAAAAACUCGGAAAAUAGGAGCGGUGUAUAAGAAUAAAACUUAUUUAUUUGAACUCUUCUGCUACACUGGAAUCAACUUUCUGCACAGAUUUGCACCAGAAAUUUAAGAGCCUGAAUUAUCAAUUAUUGGUCAGAGUAUCUCCUCUCCUCUCUGAUUAGAUUCAGGUAACAUAGUCUAAAAUAUGCUUAUUAUAAAAAAAAGUUGGUACAUUUAGAUGAGGUAUAUAUGAGAUGUAGUUAUUUAAAUUAUUUGUAGGAAACUGAAACAGAGAGUCAAAGGAUAGAGAAACUCACUUUUUGAAAUUAAUUCAGAUAGAAUUCUUGGAACUUGUUUAGCAGAAUUGAUUGGCUCUAAGUGAGAGAUGUCACAAAUCCCAUUGAUAGAGCAAGUAAUAUCAUUAACUUUGAUUUAUAAACCUAACCUUGAGUGAGUUUAAGGGCGGCAGGGCUUAGUAACUGGCAAGCACAUCCACUUCACUGGUAGAGUCCCUUCUGAGACAUUUAGCUUAAUUCAGAUACUACUGGAAAUGAAAACAGUUAAUAGGGGUCAGAUUAGCAGAUAGUACACAAGAAACUAUACCCACAAAACUUAUCAUGUCUAAAGGGAAAAAAGAAAACACUGCUCACAGAAAGAAAAAAAAAAAAAAAGUAGCCAUUAUGUGUAAUUGGUUGAUACGUAUUUAAGAGUUUUAUGCUCUCAAAAUAUAUGAUUUCAUUAUACACACUUAAGGUGACCAUACAAUUUAUCAUCCAAACCUUGACACAUUUUGCCCAGGACAAAUGCUAAACCAAAGAGAACUCCUGGACAACGGGCAUACAUUGGGAAUGCAAUGGGCAAACUUUAACGUAUACAUACUAUGAUUUGUAUAUACAAUAAAAAUAAAAAUAGAAAAUUAUUUAAAUUCAUAUAAUCCAUGAAGCAAUCAAAAUAAUCAUAGCUAACAUUUUUGAUGUUUACUAUGUCCCAAAUGUUCAUUUAAUCCUGGCAUCAAUCUUAUCAAGUAAGGAGCUAUUACUAUUUCCAACUUACAAAUUGGUAAAUUAUGACCCAGAGAGGCUAAGAAAUGUUGCUAGAGUCACAAAGCUACAUAAUGUAGAGUGAAAAUUUGAAUCCACACAGCCUGGAUACAGAGCUCGUAUUCCAAAUGAAAACAUUUGCUAAAAGAGAAUUAAUUAAAUAACUGGAUGUUAAGUAUAAUAUAUUCAAUCACAUGUAAGAACUAGAUAAUAAGAAAAUAUAUACUCAUUUUUAAAGAUAAUGACUAUAUUAUAGUCCCAUUACAAAUGUGGCAAGUGUGACCCUGAAAAUAAGACACUCUAAUUAUAGACCACCCACCCAAACCAGAUUCUUGAGCCCUACCCAAGACUUAACUAAGAAUUCCACUUGAUUCUUACAAUUAGUGUUUGAGAAUGUUUCCUAAAAAAUAGGAAACAAGAGUAAAUUGGUGGUAUUGCAUUUAUGCUGUUGUUAUAAUUUUGUCUUUGUUUUUAUAAGAACAUGGAGCUUACAAUAACUAAGCACAAGCACUGACUUAGAAUGACUAUCUUUAAGUACUCAAAAACAACUACACUAAUUUAAUCUCUGUUGAUUAAAAAUAUUAACUUCUACCCACCAGCUCACUAGAUGAAGUUUUCUUAUAAAAACAAUAAUUAUGAACAAUAUGUAAUUUGGUACAGAAGUUAGAUAUUUAAAUCAUUGUUACAAAAUAAC